rnacentral:rRNA from 1 species
CGGUCCAGACUCCUACGGGAGGCAGCAGUGGGGAAUAUUGCACAAUGGGCGCAAGCCUGAUGCAGCCAUGCCGCGUGUGUGAAGAAGGCCUUCGGGUUGUAAAGCACUUUCAGCGGGGAGGAAGGCGAUAAGGUUAAUAACCUUGGCGAUUGACGUUACCCGCAGAAGAAGCACCGGCUAACUCCGUGCCAGCAGCCGCGGUAAUACGGAGGGUGCAAGCGUUAAUCGGAAUUACUGGGCGUAAAGCGCACGCAGGCGGUCUGUCAAGUCGGA